rnacentral:rRNA from 1 species
AUUCUAUAUGGAUAUCAGUAGUAAUUCUAGAGUUAAUACAUGCGUCAAAACCCGACUUUUCGGAAAGGUUGUAUUUAUUAGAUUUUAACCAAUCACCUCCGGGUGGCUGUGAGGAUUCAUAGUAACUGAUCUGAGCGAGGUCUUUCCUCGCUAAAUCAUUCAAGUUUCUGCCCUAUCACUUAGAUGGAAGCGUAUUGGACUUCCAUGAGGAUCACGGGUACGGAGAAUUAGGGUUCGGUACCGGAGAGGGAGCCUGAGAAACGGCUACCACUUCUAAGGAAGGCAGCAGGCGCGUAAAUUACCCAAUCCCAAAUCGGGGAGGUAGUGACAAGAAAUAACAACUCGGGGACUCACGUCUUACGAGAUUGCAAUGAGAACAAUAUAAAUCACUUAACGAGGAACAAUUGGAGGGCAAGUCUGGUGCCAGCAGCCGCGGUAAUUCCAGCUCCACAAGUAUAUAUUAAAGUUGUUGCAGUUAAAAAGCUCGUAGUUGGUAUUCUAGACCGUUCCAGGGUCGGCUCCGGUCACUCUGAGGAUGGCCUAUCCGUCUGAGAAACAUCUGUGGCCUUCAGUGGUCAGGGUGUGGAACAGACCAUUUACUGAGAAAAAAAUUAGAGUGUUCAAGGCAGGCUAAUGCCCUGAAUAUACAAGCUUGGAAUAAUAGAACAUGACUGGAGUCAUUUUGUUGGUCAUGUGACUUUAGUAAUGAUCAAUAGGGACAAUUGUGGGCUUAAGUAUGUAAUUGUCAGAGGUGAAAUUCUUGGAUUUUUUACAGACUAACUUACGCGAAAGCAUUUGCCAAGGAUGUUUUCAUUAAUCAAGAACGAAAGUUAGGGGAUCAAAGACGAUCAGAUACCGUCCUAGUCUUAACUAUAAACGAUUCCGACUAAGGAUUAGGCGAAUCACUUUAAUUCGCUUAGCACUUCUUGAGAAAUCAAAGUCUUUGGGUUCCGGGGGAAGUAUGGAGCGCAAGUCUGAAACUUAAAGGAAUUGACGGAAGGGCACACCAGUUGUGGAGCCUGCGGCUUAAUUUGACAACACGGAAAAACUUACAAGCCUAAGACAUAGGUAGGAUUGACAGAUUGAGAGCUCUUUCUUGAUUCUAUGGGUGGUGGUGCAUGGCCGUUCUUAGUUGGUGAAGUGAUUUGUCUGGUUAAUUCCGUUAACGAACGAGACCUUAGCCUGCUAAACUAGGCGCCUGAUCCCACAUCGGGUUGUCUUCUUAGAGGGACUUUGCGUUCAAACGCAAGGAAGUAUGAGGCAAUAACAGGUCUGGAAUGCCCCUAGAUUGGCUUGGCCGCACGCGCGCUACAAUGACUCGUUCAGCAAGUUUCUUUCCUGGCCUGACAAGGUUUCGGGUAAACUUCAUAAUACGAUGUCGUGCUGGGAAUUGUCCUUUGCAAUUAUAGGACAUGAACUAGGAAUAACUAGUAACGGUAAGUCAUCAGCU